AUACUUACCUGGAUGGGGUCAAUGGGUGAUCAAGAAGGCCGAUGGCCUAGGCAAGUGACCUCCAUUGCACUUAGGAGGGGCGCUAGCCUAAGGUCUACCCAAGUGGUGGAGCCUACAUCAUAAUUUGUUGCAGUGGGGGCCUGCGUUCGCGCGGCCCCUCC
rnacentral:snRNA from 1 species